CACAUGGCCCGCCUCCUCCCCAUCGCGGCACUCUGCACGGCACUUGUUGGCCGCCGUUGGGCUUGCUUGCGGCGCACAGAUCGGGUCGCGCGCGACGGCUACAUCAUCGCCGGAUCUGUCGUUUCGUCCGACAGCGACCCCAACCCCAGCGCCCUCCUGCACCGCCCGCUUCCCCCACUCCCGCUUGACUCCACGGGCCGGUGGCGACGCUCUGCCCGGAGAUCCGCGGAUCUGCGUCUGCCAGCCGCAUUUGGCCCUCCGUCCACUGUGCUCUGCCGGCCCUGGCUCGCGCCGGGGUGGCCCUUGGCUCGUCACCAGGCUCCUGUGUGGCUUGCUCUCGCACGCCUAGAUGCACCAUUGUCGGGUUCCCUGUUGCCCCUAUGAUAUGAUAAAUGCAUCCACCCCUCCCAUUGGCUUGGGUACCUGAUGGAUUUGGUCUGGUCCGCCUACAGAGAUGUUGGUUCCGUUGUUUGCACAUGUAUCCUGAUGCCGGUUUCUCACCAUGGCUGUCAAGUACCGCCUCGUGAAGGAGUGGAGAAGACAACGUGCUCUGGUUCUCCUCCAGCAUGGUCAAAACAAUGGUGCCUUCACCCUUGCUCGUGCCUCAACCCACAUGGUCAUCUUUGAGACGUGGUAUUCAGUCACAUGACAGAGUUCUCUUUAUCCUUGAGGUCAGGUGCGGCAACUAGCGACAUGUGCUGGAGCUUCUGGCGGCGACAUCACCUGCAUCGAGCUCUCCCUGGUCGCCUUCGAGAGUGUGUGCGGCUCCGUCAAGCUUGUUAUGACGCACUUUGAAUUUCCGAGCAAGUCGCAGCCUUUUCAGAUUCAUCAACACAGGUUACAUCAGUACUCAAUAUGGUUCAGAUGCAUAAUAGCAAGCUGUGGUUUUACUCCUGGCCCUGAGAAGGGUGAACUAGGCCAUAGCGAGGGCGCCUUCAGGAACAUCGAGUCAGGGUGCCUCACUUUCUAUUUCAAUCUGUGAGGGUGAUACGUAUGAAGGAAAAGAGCCAGAGCGGCGCUUGGAUAAAAGUCAGUGCUGGAAUUUGUUUGGCAUAUGCGGAAAUCUUAGUAAAGGAUAAGGACGCACACGGCGGUGAGGUUAGUAGGGGCGUAACAAACGAGAAGGGCGGGCGUGGCAAUGGCCAUUCAUGUGUCAGACGAAAAUUGUACACCCACAUGUGUGACGAGGCUGGACUUGACAUAUGCAUCAACAAGCAUGGUGAUGAGGUGAGAGUUGGAAGCGUGGAUGUACUUGACAAGGAGCAAGUAGAUGUGAGCAAGCAUGGUGGGCAAUGUCGACGAUGUUCACGCGAGUGAGACAGUUUGAGGGGAAUGCCUGUGCAUAUUUGUGGCGGAAUGGACAGUUUGAGGGGAAUUAGCCUGUGUCUUUGGACAGGUUGUCGACAGAUAAAAGUUUUAUAGUUUGGCUUGAGGAGUAACAUAGACAGGCAUGCUGGUGCUAUAAGGCUAUAUCUCUCUUCGUGGACAAGAGCAUACAAUGCUUCAAGUUUCAUGGAAGUUUUUAAAUUCCAUUAUGAGGCUCAAUCUGAAAUAAAAUGGUGUCUUGCUUUACCAAA